rnacentral:rRNA from 1 species
UACGUAGGGAGCAAGCGUUGUCCGGAAUCAUUGGGCGUAAAGCGCGCGUAGGUGGCCUCAUAAGUCCGCUGUGAAAGUCAAAGGCUCAACCUUUGAAAGCCGGUGGAUACUGUGAGGCUAGAGUACGGAAGAGGCGAGUGGAAUUCCUGGUGUAGCGGUGGAAUGCGCAGAUAUCAGGAGGAACAUCAAUAGCGAAGGCAGCUCGCUGGGACGUGACUGACGCUGAGACGCGAAAGCGUGGGGAGCAAACAGG